UACGAGGGGGGCGAGCGUUGUUCGGAAUUAUUGGGCGUAAAGGGUGCGUAGGCGGUUCCGCAAGUCCUGUGUGAAAUCUUCGGGCUCAACUCGAAGUCUGCACGGGAAACUGCGGGGCUUGAGUGUGGGAGAGGUGAGUGGAAUUCCCGGUGUAGCGGUGAAAUGCGUAGAUAUCGGGAGAACACCUGUGGCGAAAGCGGCUCACUGGACCAUAACUGACGCUGAUGCACGAAAGCUGGGGGGAGCAAACAGG
rnacentral:rRNA from 1 species